AUGGAACCGAUGCCUUCUCCCGGCCUGCCGCCCCCCGCCGCCGCACUCCUCGCCGACGUCGGCGCCCUCCGCCGCUCGUACGCACGCCUCAUCGCCCUCUCCUCCACGCUCCGCCACCUCGACCAGAUCCUCGCCGUCUGCCUCGCCUCCGGCCACUACACCCUCGACCCCGCCCCGGCCACCUCGCUCCUCCUCCGCUACGCCGCCCUCCGCGCACCUCCCCGCCAGCUCCUCCGCCUCUUCCGCGCCGUCCCCAGCCCCGACCGCUUCAUUCGCAACGCCCUCCUCCGCUCCCUCCCGUGCCUCUGCCCGGACCUCCUCUUCCCCUGCCCCGACUCCUUCUCCUUCGCGUUCGCCGCCACCUCGCUCAACACUUCCAGCUCCCGCGGCGGCAUCGCUUCUAGCUCCGCUUCCGCGCGCCCGCUGCACGGGCUCGCCGUGGCCGCGGGGUACGCGGGGGACACGUUCGUGGCGUCGGCCUUCACCAAGCUCUACUCCACGCUGUCGAGAGGCGAUGACGCACGCAAGGUGUUCGACGCAGUGCCGUCUCCGGACACGGUCCUCUGGAACACGCUGCUCGCCGUGCUGUCCGGCUCGGAGGCCAUGGAGGCGUUCGUGCGGAUGGUAGGGACAGGAUCUGCGCAGCCUGACUCGUCGACGCUGUCAUCGGUCCUGCCUGCGGCAGCAGAGGUUGCGGAUGUGACGAUGGGAAGGUGCGUCCAUGCCUUUGGGGAGAAAUGCGGAUUGGCACAAGACGAGCAUGUCGUGACGGCGCUGAUCUCACUGUAUGCCAAGUGCGGAGACGUGGAGUGUGCACGGCAUCUCUUUGACAGGAUGGUGGCGCCGGAUUUGGUUGCGUACAAUGCCUUGAUCUCAGGCUACUCGGUUAAUGGCAUGGUUGGAUCGUCGGUGGAGCUGUUUAAGGAUCUGGUGACCUUGGGCUUGAGGCCAACCUCGAGCACGUUGGUGGCGCUGAUCCCGGUGCACAGUCCGUUCGGGCAUGAACAGCUUACUCGGUGCUUACAUGCACAUGUUGUCAAGUCUGGAUUUGAUGCCAAUGCUCCUGUAUCGACAGCGCUUACCACUCUCUACUGCAGGUUAAACGAUAUGGAGUCUGCAAGGAAAGCCUUUGAUGCAAUGCCUGAAAAGACCAUGGAAGCAUGGAAUGCCAUGAUAUCGGGGUAUGCCCAGAAUGGUUUGACGGAGAAGGCCGUUGCACUCUUCCAGAAAAUGCAGGCGCUCAAUGUGCCACCAAAUCAGCUCACCAUCUCGAGCACUCUGUCAGCCUGUGCACAGCUUGGAGCUUUGUCAUUGGGAAAGUGGGUACACAAGAUCAUCUCCAAGGAGAACCUCGAACUCAAUGUUUAUGUCAUGACAGCGCUCAUUGACAUGUAUGUGAAGUGCGGAAGCAUUGCUGAAGCUCGCCGCAUCUUCGACAGAAUGGACAAUAAGAAUGUGGUCUCCUGGAAUGUGAUGAUCUCUGGAUAUGGCCUGCAUGGUCAAGGUGCUGAAGCUUUGAAGCUCUACAAGGACAUGCUGGAUGCAAACCUUCUUCCAACAAGCUCCACCUUCCUGUCAGUACUCUAUGCGUGCAGCCAUGGAGGAUUGGUUGAGGAAGGGCGGACAGCCUUCCGGUCAAUGACUACCGAUUACGGGUUCACUCCAGGCAUCGAGCACUGCACUUGCAUGGUGGAUCUACUCGGCCGAGCUGGCCGGCUCAAGGAGGCUUAUGAGCUCAUCCCAGAGUUCCCCAAGAGCGCCAUUGGACCUGGCGUAUGGGGGGCUUUACUUGCUGCUUGCAUGGUUCAUAAGGUUGCUGACCUUGCAAAAUUGGCCUCCGAGAAGUUGUUUGAACUAGAACCUGAGAACACCGGCUACUAUGUGCUGCUCUCCAAUCUGUACACGUCAAAGAAGCAGUACUCUGAAGCAGCUGGGGUGAGGCAGGAGGCCAAGAGCAAGAAGCUGGUGAAAACACCGGGGUGUACUCUAAUCGAGAUAGGUGAUAAACCGCAUGUCUUCAUGGCUGGUGAUCGUGUCCACCCACAGUCAGACGCCAUCUACUCGUACUUGGAGAAGCUAACUACAAAGAUGAUCGAGGCUGGGUACCGACCCGACACGGAGGCAGCAUUGUACGACGUCGAGGAGGAAGAGAAGGAGCAUAUGGUGAAAGUGCACAGCGAGAAGCUGGCCAUCGCCUUUGGAUUGCUCAAUACGGAACCUGGGACAGAGAUCAGGAUCAUCAAGAACCUUAGGGUGUGCCUGGAUUGCCAUAACGCCACCAAGAUUAUUUCCAAGGUGACACAGAGGCUGAUUGUGGUUAGGGAUGCGUCGAGGUUUCACCAUUUCAGAGAUGGAGUUUGCUCCUGUGGCGAUUACUGGUGA
rnacentral:rRNA from 1 species